GUAGAUCCUAUUCUGUACCAAUAGAUCCUUCAUCCUUUGCUGACAAAGAUUAAAGUUAUCCUUGCCAUCAAAUUUUCUAAUGUCUCCCUUAAUGGUACUCGAUGCCAUCUCAACUAGAUCUCCAAAAAUAAACAUCAAAAACAAAAUACAGUGUUCAUAAAAAAUUUGUUCAGCACCUUACCACAAUCCAGACACAACUUUGACCUUUCCUC
rnacentral:lncRNA from 1 species